UUUAUCUAUUUAUUUGAAAGGCAGAGUUACAGAGAGGGAGAGACAUACAGAGAGAGACAGAGAGUUCUUCCAUCUGCUGGUUCACUCCUCAGAUGGCUGAAACUGCCAGCGCUGGGCCAGGCCAAAGCCAGGAACCAGGAGCAUCAUCCGGGUCUCCUAGGUGGAUGGCAGGGGCCUAAACAUUUGGGCCAUCUUGCACUGCUUUCCCAUUAUAUUAGGAUAGGAAGUAGGAGGUAGGACAUGAACCAGCCCCCCACGGGAUGCCAGCAUUGCAGGUGGCAGCUUAACCAGCUACACCACUCAGUUCUAGCAACUUUCUAUGGAAGGUGGAUUUCUUCAUAGGCAAGACCCGCAUUUUGACUUUUGUCAUGAAAGUGUGUGUUUUCAUCUUUUGGAGCAAAACCUAGGGAAAGCCAACGUACUUUGCCUAAGAGGAAAUUUGGGGAUUCUUCAUGCCUGCAGAAUGGAGGAGAGGAAAAGAAGGGAAGGGAAGGAAGUAGGAAGCCAGGGAGAUAAAGGGAGGACCUCCCACCCCAGGAAGUGGGUUUCCUUUGCUUCCCUCUUGAGCUGAUUGAACAAUGCACACACCGUGCUUGAUGUGAGUGGGUUUCUCGUGGACAGUAAAGAAAGGGCUGUGUGUUCUGGGCUAUGUGGUGUACAACAGAAACAGUUUGUAACAGACGAGGAGCCCAGAGGAGCAAAAGGAGGAAGAGGACCUAAGCAGCCCUUUGGCCCUUGGGUGGACAGCAUCGAGCUCUGCCCAAAUCCUUUCUACAGUGAGGGAUUUUGUGGGUGGGGUGGUCGGGUGGCACUCACACCCAGAGUCUGAGAGAGAUGAUGGCCAACAGCCCUUACCUGAGUUUGCUCCCGUGGAUCCUGUCUGCUGGAGAGAGGGAAGAGCACAUCCAGAGACUGGUCAGUGUGGGGCAGGAAGGUCAGGCCCUUGGCCCAAAUUUGGUGGAGCUCUGCAAGGCCAUUCUGGCUGCUGAACUCCCUGUGGGAUUGUCUGAGACUUCAUUGACAUUGAAUCCUUGUAGCCCAGCUUCCUCCUCUUCCUGCUUCCUUUGUUUCCUCACAGAUGUUCUUGGGAGCACUCCUCAAGUCCUGCACACAACUGGUAUCUCGUGGUGUGCCACUGGGGAACCCAACCUGUGAAACGUGCUGAUCUCCUCAGGACUCGCAGAGAUCUUGGGCAAGGACUCAGAUUUCCAUGAAUGCUACAGGUGAUGGGGAGGAGGAGACAGCAAUUUUACCUGUGUCUGAUGAGGGUGGCAGGAAAGCCCAGGCUACUUCUGCUUUCUAUUUAAACAGCCUGGGCUAAGAGGCACAGAAGCUGGGCCACUAAAAGGUAAACAACAUUUUGCCAACUGAAAAAUAAGAUGAGAUAAAGGCACUGCUGCUGCCUGCGAAAACUUCAUUAGCAAUAAAUGAGUUACCAGAUGUGACACAUCAGAUUUGAAAUUAAAAUAUAUUCCCAGUAUUUCUGUGCAGUCUGGGUAGGAGUUAAAAAGGAACUUUUUUUCAAGAUAAUGCAUCAUGUUUUUGCCUUCUGACUGUGCCUCCUGUAAAUGUAAAAUAAAAUGCAUCCCUUGGUGUGUAAAAUGGAAAGACAGCGUUUCUGCUUAGAAGGACCACGUGGUGCGGCAGCACAUUACUCAUACAGCAGCAACUCUCUAAGACAGGAGCCUAUUUUUGAACACUCUGUGCCACACCAUGACCACCAUCUCCUCGGCAACUUCUCGACUUCACUUUCAGCAAGCCAGCUCUGCUUUUAUUAUCAGCAACAAAACCAUUCAAGUCAGCAACUGUCAACAUCAACUCUACUCUUCCUGAACUCUGCUAUCACAACCACCCUGUUAGUGCUCCCCCUUCUUCAGGAGAUAUAAAGACUUUCCUCUUGUUCUUCCAGCUAGCUAAGCCGACUCUGCUCUUGUCCACAGAGUUACAAACCUCCAAUUCAAAAGCAAUUGUGGUUAGGGAGGGAACCCCACAGUAGGAAAUAGGAGAGCACAAUUUCGCUUGAGCCAGCAAAAAUUUCAAAUGAUAAGCCACUGUGUUAGAAAUAGCUAACAUUCUCUAGUUUUUAUAAACAAAUAUUUUUGGCUGAACUUCUUCAGCCUAGUUCCUUCAAAGUUUCAAAAUCUUUGCGGUUCCUCAGUUCCAGAUGAUGACAAUGGGAGUUUGAAACCAUUUAUUUAUUUUUUCUCCCCAAUUAACUUUGGUUCUUAUCUCCUGCAAGAUGGGUAAAGCUUAUAAAUCAAAUUAAAGAGUGAAAGUGAGUAAUCAUUCUCAAGCGUCCUCUUGGAAAAUAUUUACAUAGGACUUUUUACACAUAGAAACCUCCCAAAGCACUUAAAAGUUUAUUUCUGCAUCAUUACCUACUCAUCAGAUGUGUGGGAUGUAGUUUCUAAAUAUGCCCUUUGACCUUCUCAGAAAGGAAAACAGCAUCACUGAGAUGAUUAGUUAUGUCAAUGAGGAAAAUGUCCAUUUAAUUUUCUUAGCCAUGAAACUUGAACACAGAGUGACAUCCGAGUGCUCAUUUAAGCUUAUAAAAUUUGCAGUUAGUUUUUAUUCUGUAUUUCUGCUGGUAUCUGAUUCAUAGCAAAGGUUUAUAGUGACUUACCAGUAAUAAUAACAUUUAUCAUUUGUGAUUAAUUGAAUACUUGCUUGUGUUAAUUGACUUUUCUACAAGACAUCACUAUUCUCAUUUUUCAGAUGAAGAAAUAGACUUAGAGAGCACGUCCUUAUGUUUUUGACAUUCUAUAAGUGAUGUCUCCAGGCCCUGUAGGCUUCUUAUUUUGGGGAGGAAGAUCAUCUCUUUAUUCUGCAGUCCAGUGCUUCUUAUGAGGAAGUUAUUUUGCCCUCCAAGGACAUCUGGCAAUGUUUGGAGAUAUUUUUUAUUUUUGCAAGAGAGGAGGAAAAGAGGAGGCUGUUACUAGCACCUGGUAGGUAGUGGGCAGCGAUACUGUUCAUCAUAUCAUGGUGCAUAGGACAGGGCACACAACAAAGGGUUAUCCAAACUGCACUGUACUGCUGUUGGGAUGUUCUGUUCCCUAGUUUAUU